GCUGCAGGGCCUCAGCUCCCUUUCCUCCAAAGGCCGUGGCACGUAUGGGCUAUGUCGAGGUUCUGGUUGCCCAGGUAAAAUUGGCAGAGCUUUUCCGGUAGAGCCCACUAUGCGCCGCUCACAGUUCCAGUCCAGUGGGACGCAUUGGUAAAGGUGCUGUAUUUGCCUCCGUUGUCUUCAAGAAUUCAGGAUCACUUCUGUUCCAAGAAGAAAUUUUGGAACAGGACAUUAGUGGACGAGCUGUAUGGGAAUAGGGACUGGACCCUAGGUUUCUUGAACGAACUUUCAGGUUAAACAUCUUUAGUUCCUUCAACUGACCCUCAUCGAGUAGCCCUUUACCACCUGAUCACCCCCUCUCUACUUGGUCAAUGAACUUCCAAGAAUGUGGCUCCUUGGAUUCGGCACAAUUCUUACCAACCGUCUGACCAGGCACAGGUUGAGAUGGGUAUUCUGAUGGGACUUCUAUGGGAACAGCAAAUUCCUCAUUGGAACACGGCAAUCCUAGCACCUCAUCUGCCAACCCAGCAGAAUGCCAGAAAGGACAAUGGGCGUUUCAUGUUUGACCCCAGUCUUUCAGAACUAAAAGAACUUUAGGACUAUGGCCUCUCAGGUUCAUGGAAGUGGAGUGAUUGCUCUCCUGGUAUGUGGGCUCUGCCCUGCCUUAUGUAAGGCAAUGAAUAAAAGAAAGAAAAGAAUAAUCUCUUUGCUUCUGGCUUCCAGAGAAAGGCACAAGACAAGAGUAUUUUACAACUACAUUUCAUUAUUUAAAUUGCAAAGAAAUGAGAUACCUUUUUCUUCAAAAGAAAACAAAACAAGAAAUCCCACCAAACUUCAAGGCAGAUUGAAUCUGGACAAUUUUCCAGAACCCGCUGGAUUACAGAGACAAGGCACUAGAGUUUGUUGUACAUACACCUCCUUCAGCAUACUUUGCUUUUUGAGGUCAAUAAAUGAAA